rnacentral:piRNA from 1 species
UUAUGAGAUUAAAUUGGAAUU